rnacentral:rRNA from 1 species
CGGCCGGGAACUCAAAGGAGACUGCCAGUGAUAAACUGGAGGAAGGUGGGGAUGACGUCAAGUCAUCAUGGCCCUUACGACCAGGGCUACACACGUGCUACAAUGGCGCAUACAAAGAGAAGCGACCUCGCGAGAGCAAGCGGACCUCAUAAAGUGCGUCGUAGUCCGGAUUGGAGUCUGCAACUCGACUCCAUGAAGUCGGAAUCGCUAGUAAUCGUGGAUCAGAAUGCCACGGUGAAUACGUUCCCGGGCCUUGUACACACCGCCCGUCACACCAUGGGAGUGGGUUGCAAAAGAAGUAGGUAGCUUAACCUUCGGGAGGGCGCUUACCACUUUGUGAUUCAUGACUGGGGUGAAGUCGUAACAAGGUAACCGUAGGGGAACCUGCGGUUGGAUCACC